rnacentral:rRNA from 1 species
AGCGAACGCUGGCGGCAGGCCUAACACAUGCAAGUCGAACGGACCCUUCGGGGUUAGUGGCGGACGGGUGAGUAACACGUGGGAACGUGCCUUUUGGUUCGGAAUAGCUCCUGGAAACGGGUGGUAAUGCCGAAUGUGCCCUUUGGGGGAAAGAUUUAUCGCCAUUAGAGCGGCCCGCGUCUGAUUAGCUAGUUGGUGAGGUAAAGGCUCACCAAGGCGACGAUCAGUAGCUGGUCUGAGAGGAUGACCAGCCACAUUGGGACUGAGACACGGCCCAAACUCCUACGGGAGGCAGCAGUGGGGAAUCUUGCGCAAUGGGCGAAAGCCUGACGCAGCCAUGCCGCGUGAAUGAUGAAGGUCUUAGGAUUGUAAAAUUCUUUCACCGGGGACGAUAAUGACGGUACCUGGAGGAAAAGCCCCGGCUAACUUCGUGCCAGCCGCCGCGGUAACAC